rnacentral:miRNA from 10 species
AUCUUGUUAAAAUGCAGAUUCUGAUUUAGUAGGUCUGGAACCUGGCCUGAGAUUCUGCAUUUAUAACAAGUUC